ACUGCCUCGAGGGGUGUGUGGCAGGUAUGUCUGCUGUGUCACAUGUGAUUCAGAAGGUGGCGAAGAGGAGAGAGGCUAUGUCUGUACUCAGUGAACGUUCCCUGAAAAAAGCAAGCCUGAGACG
rnacentral:snoRNA from 1 species